rnacentral:rRNA from 1 species
CACUGCCUACGGGGGGCAGCAGUAGGGAAUUUUCGUCAAUGGGCGCAAGCCUGAACGAGCAAUGCCGCGUGAACGAGGAAGGUCUUCGGAUCGUAAAGUUCUGUUGAAGGGGAAAAAGAGCGGAGAGAGGAAAUGGUCUCCGAUUGAUAUUACCCUUCGAGGAAGUCACGGCUAACUACGUGCCAGCAGCCGCGGUAAUACGUAGGUGGCGAGCGUUAUCCGGAUUUAUUGGGUUUAAAGGGUGCGCAGGCGGACCAUCAAGUCAGCGGUAAA